rnacentral:rRNA from 1 species
CGCUGUAAACGAUGUCGACUUGGAGGUUGUGCCCNUGAGGCGUGGCUUCCGGAGCUAACGCGUUAAGUCGACCGCCUGGGGAGUACGGCCGCAAGGUUAAAACUCAAAUGAAUUGACGGGGGCCCGCACAAGCGGUGGAGCAUGUGGUUUAAUUCGAUGCAACGCGAAGAACCUUACCUACUCUUGACAUCCACGGAAUUUGGCAGAGAUGCCUUAGUGCCUUCGGGAACCGUGAGACAGGUGCUGCAUGGCUGUCGUCAGCUCGUGUUGUGAAAUGUUGGGUUAAGUCCCGCAACGAGCGCAACCCUUAUCCUUUGUUGCCAGCACUUCGGGUGGGAACUCAAAGGAGACUGCCGGUGAUAAACCGGAGGAAGGUGGGGAUGACGUCAAGUCAUCAUGGCCCUUACGAGUAGGGCUACACACGUGCUACAAUGGCGUAUACAAAGAGAAGCAAACUCGCGAGAGCCAGCGGACCUCAUAAAGUACGUCGUAGUCCGGAUUGGAGUCUGCAACUCGACUCCAUGAAGUCGGAAUCGCUAGUAAUCGUAGAUCAGAAUGCUACGGUGAAUACGUUCCCGGGCCUUGUACACACCGCCCGUCACACCAUGGGAGUGGGUUGCAAAAGAAGUAGGUAGCUUAACCUUCGGGAGGGCGCUUACCACUUUGUGAUUCAUGACUGGGGUG